rnacentral:rRNA from 1 species
CCGGAUUAAUACCGCAUGAGACCUGAGGGUGAAAGCGGGGGACUCGCAAGAGCCUCGCGCUGUUGGAGCGGCCGAUAUCAGAUUAGGUAGUUGGUGGGGUAAAGGCCUACCAAGCCGACGAUCUGUAGCUGGUCUGAGAGGACGACCAGCCACACUGGGACUGAGACACGGCCCAGACUCCUACGGGAGGCAGCAGUGGGGAAUUUUGGACAAUGGGCGCAAGCCUGAUCCAGCCAUGCCGCGUGCGGGAAGAAGGCCUUCGGGUUGUAAACCGCUUUUGUCAGGGAAGAAAUCCUUUGAGCUAAUACCUCGGGGGGAUGACGGUACCUGAAGAAUAAGCACCGGCUAACUACGUG